rnacentral:lncRNA from 1 species
GACCCUUAGGAGCUUGUCAUGCGGUUAAAAUCAAGAUUCACUUGCACGUUCACUCAUACAUGUUGUUUCUACUCCAGAAGUACGCAUCCACAUACAUCCACUCAUUUCCAUCUCCAGAUUCACCCAAAAUUAUUCUACUCCCAUCUAGGAGAGAAUAGCCAAAAACAUUAUCCUAUUCCUGUUAUUCCUCGUGAAAUAAAUCCUCAAGAUAUUUUGGUUACUAUCACUUGCUACAUUAUUCCAGGAGGGAGAGUGCUCUAAAAAGGUAAAUAUGAGGAAAUAAAAAGGGGCAAGUGCCCGGAACAUCGAAGAAAAGAAAAAGUGAGAUGAGAGGUAAAAAUGGACAAGUGUCCGAUAGUAGAAUUAGGGGUACAAGAUACCCACCUGAGAGAAAAGAAAAAUAAAAUAUAGAGCAUCUCAUUCUCCUCAAAAAGCUUCAAGUGCAAGAAAGGUAUGUAUCCCCUCAAAAGAGCAAAAGUAGAAUUAGACUUUCACCAUUGUUCUCACCAUCAUCACCAUACACCAUUCAUUCUCCACACAUGCACAUCUUGAUAUUGACUUAUUGACUUGUUUCUC